AAGUCGAACGAUGAUCUCCAGCUUGCUGGGGGGAUUAGUGGCGAACGGGUGAGUAACACGUGAGUAACCUGCCCUUGACUCUGGGAUAAGCGUUGGAAACGACGUCUAAUACCGGAUAUGACGACCGAUGGCAUCAUCUGGUUGUGGAAAGAAUUUUGGUCAAGGAUGGACUCGCGGCCUAUCAGGUAGUUGGUGAGGUAAUGGCUCACCAAGCCUACGACGGGUAGCCGGCCUGAGAGGGUGACCGGCCACACUGGGACUGAGACACGGCCCAGACUCCUACGGGAGGCAGCAGUGGGGAAUAUUGCACAAUGGGCGAAAGCCUGAUGCAGCAACGCCGCGUGAGGGACGACGGCCUUCGGGUUGUAAACCUCUUUUAGUAGGGAAGAAGCGAAGUGUUUUACAUGGAGUGACGGUACCUGCAGAAAAAGCACCGGCUAACUACGUGCCAGCAGCCGCGGUAAUACGUAGGGUGCAAGCGUUGUCCGGAAUUAUUGGGCGUAAAGAGCUCGUAGGCGGUUUGUCGCGUCUGCUGUGAAAACUGGAGGCUCAACCUCCAGCCUGCAGUGGGUACGGGCAGACUAGAGUGCGGUAGGGGAGAUUGGAAUUCCUGGUGUAGCGGUGGAAUGCGCAGAUAUCAGGAGGAACACCGAUGGCGAAGGCAGAUCUCUGGGCCGUAACUGACGCUGAGGAGCGAAAGCAUGGGGAGCGAACAGGAUUAGAUACCCUGGUAGUCCAUGCCGUAAACGUUGGGAACUAGAUGUAGGGGCCAUUCCACGGUUUCUGUGUCGCAGCUAACGCAUUAAGUUCCCCGCCUGGGGAGUACGGCCGCAAGGCUAAAACUCAAAGGAAUUGACGGGGGCCCGCACAAGCGGCGGAGCAUGCGGAUUAAUUCGAUGCAACGCGAAGAACCUUACCAAGACUUGACAUAUACGAGAACGGGCCAGAAAUGGUCAACUCUUUGGACACUCGUAAACAGGUGGUGCAUGGUUGUCGUCAGCUCGUGUCGUGAGAUGUUGGGUUAAGUCCCGCAACGAGCGCAACCCUCGUUCUAUGUUGCCAGCACGUUAUGGUGGGAACUCAUAGGAGACUGCCGGGGUCAACUCGGAGGAAGGUGGGGAUGACGUCAAAUCAUCAUGCCCCUUAUGUCUUGGGCUUCACGCAUGCUACAAUGGCCGGUACAAAGGGCUGCAAUACCGUAAGGUGGAGCGAAUCCCAAAAAGCCGGUCUCAGUUCGGAUUGAGGUCUGCAACUCGACCUCAUGAAGUCGGAGUCGCUAGUAAUCGCAGAUCAGCAACGCUGCGGUGAAUACGUUCCCGGGCCUUGUACACACCGCCCGUCAAGUCAUGAAAGUCGGUAACACCCAACGCCAGUGGCCUAACCCGUGAGGGAGGGA
rnacentral:rRNA from 1 species